UACGUAGGCAGCAAGCGUUGUUCGGAGUUACUGGGCGUAAAGGGUGCGUAGGCGGCUUUUUAAGUUUGGUGUGAAAUCUCCCGGCUCAACUGGGAGGGUGCGCCGAAUACUGAGAGGCUAGAGUGUGGAAGAGGAGAGUGGAAUUCCUGGUGUAGCGGUGAAAUGCGCAGAUAUCAGGAAGAACACCAAUGGCGAAGGCAGCUCUCUGGGACGGUACUGACGCUGAGACGCGAAAAGCGUGGGGAGCGAACAGG
rnacentral:rRNA from 1 species